UUAACAAAAAUUAUUGAUAUUAAUUUAUAUAUGAUUUAAGAAUUUUAUAGAAUUAUGUUAUAGAAUUUUAUCUAUAUUAUAUUGUUGAUAUAUUUAUAUCGUAACAACAUUUGUGUUAGUAUGCAUCAUUUAUUUAUUAUACUUUCUUAUAAACAUUAUGAUAAGUAACAUCCAAAACAUAUAAUGUAUGAACUAAUAUUAUCAUAUUCAAUAUUUAUUUAUAAUGAACUUGGACAUUAUACAGAUUCUUUUUUAGAUGGAAUACAAAAAUAUAUAACACAAUCGAAAUUACCACGAAAUUACGAUAAAUAUUUAUACCAAGUAUAUAAGUGGUAUCACUAUCAUCGUAUUUUGAUUAUCAUCCGAAAAAAUCCGAUGGAAUAUCCAAACUUUUUAUGGAUUGAUACUAACAUUGAUAAUAUUAGUUUACCAUUGCUGAAUUGUUGAAUGAAGAUAAUAUAUUAACGUAAUACGACGCUUUACUUUGACUUGGAAAAAAUCUAGUGAUGUAUUCAUGAUAUAUUUGUCUAUAGCAUUAGCAAUAAGGAAUAAUGUGAUAUCAUAUAUUCUUUUUAUGUGGAAAUUUACUAAACAGAAAUUGAGCCAUUUUUAUAAUAAAGAAGUGUAUAGGAUAUUGUUUCCGUCCAAUAA